UACGGAGGGUGCAAGCGUUAUCCGGAUUCACUGGGUUUAAAGGGUGCGUAGGUGGGUUGGUAAGUCAGUGGUGAAAUCCCCGAGCUUAACUUGGGAACUGCCAUUGAUACUAUCAAUCUUGAAUACCGUGGAGGUCAGCGGAAUAUGUCAUGUAGCGGUGAAAUGCUUAGAUAUGACAUAGAACACCAAUUGCGUAGGCAGCUGGCUACACGAAUAUUGACACUGAGGCACGAAAGCGUGGGGAUCAAACAGG
rnacentral:rRNA from 1 species